GGGGCUGAACGGAAUCGACAGCUUGUUUAGAUGACCCGGUAAGCAUGCCGAGCCUGGAACCGUUGCUCGUUAAUCCGAUGGUUCAAGCCUUAAACGGCAACUACGACUACGCACUCGCUGCUUAAUUCUAGGAAUUAGCAAGAGUUGUCUCCGGACAGGUGAGCUCAAUGGCCUGUCCUAUGGAGGCAUCGACCACAUUGAACUGGUUCUAAGGCAGGCUUGACCAAGGAACGAGAACCCUAAAGCCUAAGCGUGAUCUUCGGCCCGCCGCCCGCCUGGAUCCCGUCGAAAAUCAAGGGAUGGAUAAGCAUGUAGAAAGUCGGGGAUCGGCUUGACUGGACCAGGGUUCAACUCCCUGCAGCUCCACAA
rnacentral:tmRNA from 1 species